GCCAGACUCCUACGGGAGGCAGCAGUGGGGGAUAUUGCACAAUGGGGGAAACCCUGAUGCAGCGACGCCGCGUGGGUGAAGAAGUAUUUCGGUAUGUAAAGCCCUCUCAGCAGGGAAGAAAGAAGACGGUACCUGACUAAGAAGCCCCGGCUAACUACGUGCCAGCAGCCGCGGUAAUACGUAGGGGGCGAGCGUUAUCUGGAUUCACUGGGUGUAAAGGGAGCGUAGACGGCCGUGCAAGCCAGGAGUGAAAGCCCGGGGCCCAACCCCGGGACUGCUCUUGGAACUGUGCGGCUGGAGUGCGGGAGGGGCAGGCGGAAUUCCUGGUGUAGCGGUGAAAUGCGUAGAUAUCAGGAGGAACACCAGUGGCGAAGGCGGCUUACUGGACUGUAACUGACGUUGAGGCUCGAAAGCGUGGGGAGCAAACAGGAUUAGAUACCCUGGUAGA
rnacentral:rRNA from 1 species